AUUGAACGCUGGCGGCAGGCCUAACACAUGCAAGUCGAGCGCGCGGCGGACGGGUGAGUAAUGUCUGGGAAACUGCCUGAUGGAGGGGGAUAACUACUGGAAACGGUAGCUAAUAUCGCAUAUCAUCAGAUGUGUCCAGAUGGGAUUAGCUAGUAGGUGGGGUAACGGCUCACCUAGGCGACGAGCCCUAGCUGGUCUGAGAGGAUGACCAGCCACACGUGAACUUAGACACGGUCCAGACUCCUACGGGAGGAAGCAGUGGGGAAUAUUGCACAAUGGGCGCAAGCCUGAUGCAGCCAUGCCGCGUGUGUGAAGAAGGCCUUCGGGUUGUAAAGCACUUUCAGCGGGGAGGCGUUACCCGCAGAAGAAGCACCGGCUAACUCCGUGCCAGCAGCCGCGGUAAUUC
rnacentral:rRNA from 1 species